rnacentral:lncRNA from 1 species
GACAGUCCCUAGGUGGCGUUGUCGCACCAGUUGUCACUUCUGGUUGCCUUCACUGAAACUCUCCUCACUGAUCUUUCCUCCUCCUGCGACACCAGCAAGAAAUGUUUUGCCAUCAUCAGAUUAAGUAAGUAAACUCCACACGGAUCAGUGCCACGGUGGAAUAGAGUUUUUGAUCCCUGACCUAUUUUCGUCAGAUCACUAUCGCCAGAUUAUGCAACGCUCCAGUGCAAGAGAACCGAGCGAACCAAAACUAUAAACCGUAUAUGGGGGGUAAAUCCCAUCUGAUUCUCGUCAGCUAAUAAAAAUAACAGCUCUAAUCCACCAGACAGCCCAUGGGCGUGUGCCGAAGUUGACAGAGCAUUUAUUGUCAGGACACUUCCGCAUAUGACGCAGUUUACCACUUCUGGGACGUCUCGUGGGUCGUGAACUUUUAAGACAGGUAGGUGUCUGAUACAUUUCCGCGAUACUGUGAUUUGGUUGAAUGUGUCAGUGGUAUAAGUUAUAACCAAUAUUAAUCACAGCUUUAAGAGGACAAUUGGUAGAGAUAACGGACACUCCUCCAUCAAUAAUCCUAAAUUUAGGAGAAAAAAAAUGCGAAAAAUACGCCCAAGAAAAAAAUGGAACCGCCCCCUCUUAUUUCCCAGAGAGCACGCAUCAUGGAAAUCAGAGAAAAACAGCUGAAAUUGUAAGAUAUAUAAUAGUGAUCAAUAUUAGGGUCGAAAUAAAGAAACUCGAUGGUUUACUUUACUCCAUACUUUCACUUCCUGUUUCCAGUCUUUUAUUCAUUUUGUUUAAUUCUGUUGGCUGUAGAUACAGGAAUUUAUGAAUGUGUGUGGUUUCUACAACAGAAAAUAGAGAAGUGUAUUAAUACAAAUAUAUAACCAUGAAUGCAAACAUUGGUUAAUCACUAUAGACCUACACACACACACACACACACACACACACACACACACACACACACACACACACACACACACACACACACACACACACACACAUGCAUAUAUGUACAAUGUUUGCUUCACUGUGAUUUGUCAGCACAGCACCACUCCAGUCUAGCUUCUCACGUUCUCUUUUUGACAGCAGUUACUUCCUUGACUGUGUGUGAACCAGCAUCAUGGUGAACCAUUGUGGUCUGCUCUCUGCAAGAAAGGAACCAGGUAGAGAGCUUCAAAAUGCUUUUUAUUUAUUUAUUUAUUUUACCAAUACAGAAUCUUUAUUUCCUGUCUUUUAUUCAAACCUUAAAACUAACUUCGACUUUUGUUGCUUUAAACAGAUUUAAAUGAUUUUAACAACAACAACAAUAAUAAAGAAUUAUGUAAAUUUGUUGUAUGUUUUGUUUUCUUUGUUGUUACUUUAUGAGUGUUUGCUGUUGAUGAUCGAUGAUCAUUAUGUUUCUCUUUGUUACUUUGUCAGUUCCCUUAAAGAGUGUGGAGGUGGAGGUGGAGGUGAGGGACCAUGUGGCUACUGUGGUCUCCACUCUCAAUUACGAGAACAAAGAGGACAAACCAUUAGAAGCUGUUUUUGUCUUCCCUCUGCCUGGAGAUGCUGCUGUCUGUCAUUUUAGCGCUACGCUUGGACAGACACAGAUCAUUGCAGAGGUCAAGGAGAAACAAGAGGUGAGCAACACAGUGAGGAUUGACUAUUUACUGUGAGACUAUCAGUAUAAUAAAUGUAAAAAUUAAGGUGACUCAUGUAAUCUGUACUCUAGGCACGUGAGGACUACGAUGAUGCUUUAAGCUCUGGUUUGGAAGCCUUUCUGUUGGAGGAGAGUGAGCAAAGUCCGGAUAUAUUCUCCCUGAGUGUAGGCAGUCUUCAACCCGGAGAGAGUGCCUCAAUCAGGCUGGAAUAUGUCACUGAGCUGAAUGUGCAGGCUGAUUCUGGACUGAGGUUUUGUCUGCCUGCUGUGCUUAACCCUCGCUACCAACCUAAGGGUAGGUAAAACGAGCAAAAACACGUGUCAGUAACUUUGAAACUGCAUCUAUAUUGGUGGAUUGGCAUUGCACCUUUUUAUUAGUGCUUGUAAAAGUCAAAUCUUUAAAACUUGAAACUCAGCAAACUAAGAGACAAAGUGGUUGACCACUUUGAGCAGCCCCAUUAAUGACAGCCUUAUUAGGCCAUGAGCCAGGGGGGUUGGUCGGUAUCAACUGAGGGGAAUAAUGCUCAUAGUGAUUUUUGACAUUGUAUACAUGUAUAGAGUUAGAAAAUAUGUGAUAGCAUUGCAGCAGUGGUAGCUAAAUGUGUGCUAUCAUGCAUUUUAUUUUAUAACACUAGGCGAAAAUUACAUGGGUCAAUAUAUAAAAACAUGCAACUUAACCCCCCAAAAAACCUAUAGAAAGGGUUUCUUUUCACCAUACAUCAUUUCUAUAAGGUGUCUAGACUAACAUAAUAUAAGUCCUAUGAAAUCCUAGUUUGAAAAGUAUUUUAAUUUCGCCAGACAACAAUACGCAAAUGAGCUCAAAACUCAUUAAAAUUUGCCCAAAAUACUCCUUUUCCCCUGAACUAUUAUCACAGUGAAACUAUUAUCACAGUGAAAGCACAUUGAAAGAGGGUGAUGGCAAUGCUGCUUUUGGACCGGCCUCUAACCUGAAAACUGCCCGGCUUGGUUGUACCUACCAGGGGUAUAACCCCGGCCGGCGUAGUCUUCAGGGUCACUGAGGCACACGAGCCUCCCCACCACGACAAGGUAGUAACAAUAGGGGAGGGUGUUUUUUUUGUGUUUUUUUUUUGUGUUUUUGUAUGUUUAUUUUUGCCCGGAUCCUCUCCACCUUCUCUACAUGUCAGUUCCUGGCUUGUUCUUUGCUUUGUCCUGGGACAGAGGUAAACCAAGAAAGGUGGUUUUGGUGUAUAUCCCUACGUUUGCCAUUCAGGAAUAGUGUAGGCCUGAAUCUCUCCAAUUCUCAAUUAUACAGAUCAUACUUUUGACUUCUAUAUGUUUACAACCUAAUAAUCAAAAUCAUUUUCAUCACUAUCUUUCACGUCAGAUGGAUGGAAAGGCCAAGGACUCUCAGUCAUCUCCUGUUUUAUGACUGAUCUAAUAUGAGAUGAAGUCUGAUCUAUGAUCUUGUUCAAAUUGGUUGACUUGGCCCUCCAAACUUUGAGUUCCCUCUGCAGUGUUUGAUUUUUCAAGACAACAUCCCUAAAUGAUGCACUUUGUGGUACGAUCAGCAAUUUUCCUUUCUCAUUUGGGAAUAUAUGUACUAUAUUGCCCAGCUCAGAUUCAAGAUUCCUGCAAAUAUUCUUCCUUGUAUAAUCUCGCAAGCAUGUAAUUCCUCUAGACAGCAUUAAUUGUUCAAGUUUCAAGACCAAAGAACUUGCUUGCACAAUGGUCUUAUUGGGUAUGAUAUCAGCUCUGAUAUAUUUGAAAAGAUCAAUAUAGGCUUCCCUUUCAAUGUUUUUAUACAGUUCACCACGAUCUGUUUCCUCAUUUUUCUUUUUGCACACAGGUUCCUUUUUCUUGAUUCGUGUAUAAUCUUUAUAGCAUGACACAUGAUAGUGGGCCUCUGCAGCAACUAUGUCUCUGCUUGUUACUGCUAGAAUAUUUUCAUCCCCUUUUUGAGUUGCACACUCUCUUGAAGUUUAGUCAGCUCUGAGUUGUACAGCUUGUGUAAGCUUUUCACGCAACUUGGAGCCCUUUAAAAACUUCUCAUUCUCAUACAAAAGAUGCAGAUAUGAUCAUACACCCUUGAUGCUGAUGAAGAUCUCCUUUUAGGCCUUUUUGAUACACAGCCGUACUCAACAUCUUCAUCACCAGUAAUGCUUUCCUUGGCUUUCUUUUUCAAUGACUCCAAUUCCCUCUUCAUGGUGAAGAGGCUUUGGCAUUUUCUGUGAUAAUAAAUUGUAGGCACAUCCUUUUCUCUAAUAUUUUUUAGCAAUGUCUAAAAUAGGGGCAUGGUUUCUCACUUUGGCUGCUUCAAGUAAUGUUUCCCAGGAUUUAUAGUCUUGGGGACUAACUAAAUGUUCACCAUCAUCCUUGGACAUUUUAUUGUGUAUGAUGCACUGUUUAAUCGAUUCUGUCUGCUUAGGACUCUCCAUCAUAAAGGAAAGUGAUUCAGCUCCUUGACAUGAAAACACUCUGCUGUUCUCUGAAUUGUGUCUGACAUUAAAAACAGGGAUAUGCCCCUAAUUUGCCUAAAUAGCCUCAAUGAUGAUUAAGGUUAAGACUUGUAUUUUUAACUGAAACAUUUGUCACCCCUCCAAAGGAAGUGGAGAUAGUGCAAGUGGUAACGUCCAAGUAACCUCGUGUCCAGCCUCCUUGGUGCCCUACACCCUGUCCUUCUCUGCCCAAGUGUCGUCUCCCCGUCCUGUCUCCAAAAUAGAGUCCAACUGUUCCCUUGAUCCUCUACAGUACCUCAACUCAGAGCAAACCAAAGCCACGGUAGGUGGAAUAUUCAUGUGUCUGCUGAUGUUGUUGUCUUUACUGGUAACACUAUGUGUCAUUCAUGUUGGUUUGUGUGUCCUAUAAACUAUAGAUCAAGCUGGCUGCAGGGCACAAAUUUGACAGAGAUGUUGAACUUCUGAUUUAUUACAAAGAUGCCCACCAGCCCACUGCGGUGGUGGAGGCAGGCCAGGCUUCUGCUGAGCUUGGUGAGUAGAAAUUUGUGAAGUUCCUAUUUUGCAUUUACAAAUCUUAAUAGCCUAACUCUCUAGUCUAGCAGAUAAAUCACAUAAAUGAAUAGCAAAAGUAAGAUUGGAUGUCUUUGUGGCUCAGGCACUCUGAUGGGUGAUCCAGUAGUGAUGCUGAGUCUGUACCCAGAGUUCCCACAGGCUGUGAUGUCCUCAGUUGCCACAUGUGGAGAGUUUGUGUUCUUAUUGGAUCGCUCUGGCAGUAUGGGUGCAGCUAUGAACCACACCAAUAGAAAUGAGACUCGCAUUAGUAGUGCCAGGGUAUGAAUGUGUAUAUUCUUAUAUAAAACUAUCGGGAAUUUUCUUAUCAGACAGCAGCUUUCAUGAUUAUGUUUUUCCCUGAAGGAUACUCUUCUACUCCUGCUGAAGAGUUUACCAAUGGGCAGCUAUUUCAACAUUUACAGUUUUGGCUCCAGUUUUGAAUCCAUUUUCCCGUAAGUUACUUCUCAAAGGCUGUCCAAUAAAUUUGUCCCUGACUUUGUUGUUAUUUGAGGAUUUUUUGAUAUAAUCACAGUAAGAGUGUGGAGUACAACCAGGAGACAAUGGAAAAGGCUUUGAAGAAAGUUGAGGAGAUGCAGGCUAAUCUGGGAGGAACAGAGAUCCUUAAGCCACUUAAACACAUCUACAGCCAGCCCUGCAUUCCCAGUCAACCCAGACAAGUACCACACAUUCACACACAUUCACACAAAACAUGUGAAACAGGUCCAACAUCCCCUGCCAGUAACUAAAACAAUCUAUUCAGUCACCAGUAAAAGAAUCUGUCUGUUCUAUUUUUUAAAGUCACUAGUUAGUUUAACCUCACCACACCUUGUUUCAAACUUGGCACUAAUAACCACUUCACUGUUGUGACAUCUAAACAGCCUUCUGAAAACAACGGCUGCAUAUGAUUGUGGUUUAUUUGAAUAACAUGAAAAUUCUCUUCCCUAGCUAUUUGUAUUUACUGACGGAGAAGUGGGGAACACCAAAGGAGUUAUAGACCUGGUAAAGAAGAAUUCACAUGCCCACAGGUGAACUGCCAGAAACUUUGUAAACAACCAGAUUAUUUCACACAACAUAUACAUUGUUCUCCUGCUGCCUGGGGUAAAAGUUAAACAACUCUAUUUCAGAUGUUUCUCUUUUGGGAUUGGAGAAGGGGCCAGCUCCGCUCUCAUCAAUGGGUUGGCCAAGGAAGGAGGAGGUCAUGCUCAGUUCAUUUUAGGAAGUGACAGGAUGCAACCAAAAGUCAGUUCCACAUGAAAUACAAGCAAUCUGUCAUGUUCAACAAUACUUUGGUUUGUUGGAUGGGAGGGGUAAACCUUUUAAAAGUGAUUUAUCUUCACCAGGUGAUGCAGUCACUGAGGUAUGCUCUACACCCAGCUGUGGUGGACAUCUCAGUCACAUGGGAUUUACCAAAAGAUGUGUCCGCCACUGUCCUUUCUCCACCGAUCACAUCACUUUUCCAGGGUCAAAGGUCUCUGAUUUAUGCUGGACUCACUGGACAGGUAGGAAUUGUUACAUAUGAAGAGGAAGUUCUCUGUAUUUUAGUGUAAUAGUGUAAAGAUUUUGGUUUGAAACCAUUUAAACAUUGAUCUCCUUCUCUGCCUCUCAUAAGGGUCCUAAAUCUGUAAAUUCUGUCAGAUUUCAGAGGCAGCUGAAGGCUGUGUGACAGUAAAAUACAGCCUGGCAGGUCAUCCCUCUCAGAACCAGCUUCGCUUCAACCUGAAACCUACAGAGGAUUCUGGGUAAAAAAAUAAUUAUUUUCAAAACAGCCUUUAUACAGUAUAUGUCCUGACAUGACGAUAUGGAGUUUCAUUUCAAUAUUGAGAACAACACUGAAUGAAUGCUAAAACUUAUAUUUUUGAAAAAGGGAAAAUAUUUGGCACCAACAAGUUUCUUCUUAGUCGUUGACACAGAAAAUGAGCUAAGAUGUACACACUGUAACAUGAAAACACAGGAAAAACUAAACCAGACUUGAUCUCAGUUGUGUUCCAGUGCAACAUGACCUUAUGGCCAUUGUUCAAUCACUGAACAACUGAGGAACAGCAAGAUGUUUUAUGUAUCAUAUUGAAACAAAUCAUAUAUAUAGAUAAAGAUAUAGCUGUGUUUGGAGAUCUAACAGAGUGAAAGAAAAACAAAGAAAAACAUCACAAACUCUGAUAGCGCUGACUGAGCUUAAUAAAAUGAUUUUUAGAAGACUCCAGAGUUCAUUACUGGUAAUGUAAUCGUCAAUAUAUCCACAUCCUCUGCACAUCCUUUAACAUGUGAUAUCAAUAUUUUCAGACUAACAGUCCACAGGCUGGCUGCUCGGGCUCUGAUUCGCUGCCUGGAGAUGGAGGACAGAGAGCCCAGACAACAGCAGGAUGACAGUGUCAAGAAGAAGGUGGUAGAGCUCAGUGUGCAAUCAGGAGUGAGCAGUGCCUUUACUGCCUUUAUCGCAGUCAACAAAGGCAAUGGCAAAGCCAUACAGGGACCACUGGAGCGCAGGAAUGUUCCAGCACCCAGUGAGUAUUUCAUAGACACUUAAAUUAAAAAUAUGGCUGCUAACAUCAUAGAGAAGAGUAGAGCUCUAAGAUUUAGAAAAAGUAAGUAUUUAUAAUUCUACAAAUGAGUUUCAUAACUGCAGAUAGGAUUACACACUUUAGGAUUAAAUUAAAAAAUGCAAUCAGCUAGAAUUGACUUUGGCUGAUAUCUUCUCAAGUAAAGUUUCUCAUAAUUGCUAAACCUAACACUGUUUUGUCAUCUCAGUAUUAAUGUGCAGUGGACUGCGAUAUUGUGACUCCCUCUCCAUGCCCAUGUUACGCCAGAGUAAGUAAAAGAUCAAAUUCUUGUUGGCACAUCCUUAUGUUACAUCUUGACCUUCUAAGAUUGUCCUACUAAACUCUCAGGUAUUCCCAGUAACAGGAGCCUUCAAUUAUGCGCUAUAGAGUCCUGUGACAUCUCUUUUGACUGUAAGUAAUUAAAUGAUUUUUAAACCCCAUAUAUACUGUAUAUAUGUGUGUGUGUGGGUGUGUGUGUGUGUGUGUGUGUGUAUGUAUGUAUGUAUAUGUAUAUAUGUAUAUAUAUGUAUAUGUGUAACUAUAUAUGUGUAUAUGUAUAUAUAUAUUCAGACAAGUCAUUUUAAAUUGAUAAUAUUUUGGGGAUACUUCUUUUUCUUGAUCAGGAUGCACUUGCUGUUGGAUUUUUUAAAAUAACUUUGUGCCCUCAUUUUCCCUGUCUGGAUGGCAACCCUAUUAUGAUCUUAGUACCUCUGUUACAAAGAAGGAGUAUUAUAACAAAAUGCUUUUUGUGUGUGUAGUUUUUAUUAUGAUAUUGUUGGUUUUCUAUCUAACAUUGCCAUUUUUAUAUAUCUCAGGCUGUUUUUUUCUACUCUCUCAACAGCCAAAAAGAAAAAAACUAAAUCUUUCAAACCUGGGCUCUUUUCAUGGAAAGGAAAGAAACAGAAGGUUGUCCAAUCAGGUAAAAGAUCUCUGCAGACUGAUGCAGCAUAUCUGCACAACAGUGUCAAAGAGACAACAGUGGAAACAAUGAAUGCUUCAAAUGCAUAUCAAUUCCACAAAGACUGUUUUUUUUAUCUUUGCAUAAUAAUUUCCUUUGUCAGAUGUCCCUGAGACAUCUCCUCUGCCCACCAUGGACCCUUUGCUUCACUUGGUCUCCCUUCAGAAGGCAUCUGGCUGCUGGGACCUUAGUCCAGCUUUGGCUACAGCACUUGGAAAGACUAGUGAAGAGUUGAAAAAGCCAAAACCUGCAUCGGUCUGUUAUUUUUAAAACAACAUUUGUAAUGUUGUAAGGGACUGAGUGUGAAUAAGAUUUCAUAAUCUAUUGCCUGCAAGAUGUUCAUCUCUCUAAUUUUGCUAUUAAGGUGAAUAUGGAAAUAUGGGCCACUGUGCUGUCUCUGAUCUGGCUUCAUGGUUUCAAGAUGGACGUCAGGGAAGAGUGGGAGCUCCUGGCUAUGAAGGCUGUGUCAUGGCUCCGUGCCCAGAACUGUAAGAGCACUGAUAAACAUACAGAGCAUCUGGAAAGUAUUCAUAGUGCUACACUUUUUUCACAUUUACCUUUAAAUUUGACACACAAUUACCCAUAAUGACAAAGUGAAAAAGUUUGUCUGAAACUCUUGCAAAUUGAUUGAAAGUUACAACCGAAAUAAAACAUGUACGGUAGUAUUCACAGUGUUUUCUCAGUACUUGGUCGAUUUACUUUUGGCAGCAAUUUCAGCCUCAAGUCUUUUUGAGUAUGAUGCUACAAGCUGGGCACACCUAUUUUUGGGCAGGUUCUCCCAUCCUUUUUUGGCAGAACCUCUCCAGCUAUACCAAGUUGGAUGGAGAGCGUUAGUGUACAGCCAUUUUCGUUUCUCUCCAGAGAUGCUCAAUUGGGUUCAAGUCUGGGCUCUGGUUGGCCACUCAAGGACUUUCACAAAGUUGUCCUGAAGCCACUACUUUGUUAUCUCGGCUGUGUGCGUAGGGUCUUUGUCCUGUAGAAAGAUGAAUCUUCGCCCCAAUCCAAGGUCCAGAGUACUCUGGAACAUGUUAUCAUUAAGGAUGUCUCUGUACAUUGCUGCAUUCAUCUGUCCCUUGACCCUGACUGGUCUUCCAGUUCCUGCUACUAAAAAACAUCACCACAGCCUGAUGCUGCCACCACCAUGCUUCACUGUAGGGAUGGUAUUGGAAAGGUGAUGAGUGGUACGUGGUUUCCUCCAAACAUGACACUUGGAAAUUCAGGCCACAGAGUUCAGUCUUUGUGACACGUGAAAAUAAUUCUAAAUAAAACAGUAACACAAGAAAAUGUAAAAAAAAAAGAAAAAAAAAAGAAAAAGAAGUCUAGCUCUGUGAAUACUUUUCGGACGCAUUGUAGAUAAAAUGUCGUUGAGUGUGUGCACAGUUUAAAAUAAUCUUUUUGAUCACAUUCAAACCUCUGAUUGAUUUUUUUUGUUUUCAGCAUCAGAUCUAAAUGAGUGUGUGGAUGCUGGAAAUGCACUCUUGGGCUGCAACGUCACAAAAGACUCUCUGGGGUUCUGAGAUACUGACACAUGACUUCAAGAAUGGCACAGAAUGAAGCCAUCCUAUAAUUACAGAUCAGCCAAUCAUCCCAGUGGGGGUCAUCAUAAUACAUGAGUGAAAUGCACUGCAAAGUGUGGGGUGUUAACAUUGAAUGAAGUGUUGACUUUUUUUUUUUUCUUCAGUUUUUUGCAGUUUUUGCUAAUCAUAAUGUGUCAAGAAUUAGCUCGCUAAAUAUGUCAGUGUAAAGCAGCACUGUUGUUUUAUGUUUAUAUUGACAGAGACAAAACGUUGCUAAGCUAAUGAGGCCUUACUACAGAGAAGCCCAUAACUCGCAAAAAACUGCCAGAACGGUUAAAGCAGGUGACAGCGUGGUACUUGUAAGACAAGAAGCCACGCUGCCAAAUGUACUUCAAAAGUUUGAAUCAACCUAAAUUUACACAAAUCAGUCAAGAGAGUUUUGGUUUGCUUCUUCUGCUGAGUUUGUGCACAGAAAGUACUUUAGUGUUGAGCUGAAAUCUUAAAUACACGUGAGGAUAUUCCUGCUUGAACAGGCCCACAGUGCCCUCUCUUGGAUGGAGGUAUACAUCUUAGAAAACAGAGAGAAGCAUCAUAAUGCAAAGAUGGAAUAAUUAUGGACAUAUUUCAUGUACAAAAACCCUUCCAAAGGUUGACAUAAAAAUAAGAUGCAUAGAAAUUAAAUCAUAAUAAAUGCUGCAGUGCAACAUAUGCCUCAAAAUGAGCGAUUACAGCAAGAUAAAGUAUUUCAUCAGUUCAGCAUGUCUACAUUAAAUUAAUUUUAAUUGUGGUGUCUUGCUUUUUAUGUAUAAAUGAAGGAAAAUCAAGAUUCUUGUCUUUGUCUGAUUUUUGAAAUUUAUAAGAAAAGUGCUUGUUUGUGUCAUGCAUUGUAGUCGGCUAACCAUACAACUUACAAUAAAGUUUGUGGCAAAAAUGCAGCCUCUCACAUCUGA